GUCGUGAGAUGUUGGGUUAAGUCCCGCAACGAGCGCAACCCUCGUUCUAUGUUGCCAGCGCGUUAUGGCGGGGACUCAUAGGAGACUGCCGGGGUCAACUCGGAGGAAGGUGGGGACGACGUCAAAUCAUCAUGCCCCUUAUGUCUUGGGCUGCACACAUGCUACAAUGGCCGGUACAAAGGGCUGCUAAACCGCAAGGUGGAGCGAAUCCCAAAAAGCCGGUCUCAGUUCGGAUUGGGGUCUGCAACUCGACCCCAUGAAGUCGGAGUUGCUAGUAAUCGCAGAUCAGCAACGCUGCGGUGAAUACGUUCCCGGGCCUUGUACACACCGCCCGUCACGUCACGAAAGUCGGUAACACCCGAAGCCAGUGGCCCAACCGCAAGGAGGGAGCUGUCGAAGGUGGGAUCGGCGAUUGGGACGAAGUCGUAACAAGGUAGCCGUACCGGAAGGUGCGGCUGGAUCACCUCCUUUCUAAGGAGCAUCUGACCAGCUCGUCUGGUCCAGAACUCAGGCCUGAGACGUUCGCUCUCAGGGUGAGGCUCAAGGGUGGAACACUGACCAGUAGGCCGUGACCUCGAGGUCGCACCGUCUAGUACAGCUGGCUUGCCAGCAGGAACGGGGUGCACCACGACGGGCACGGCCCAGGCGCGCUGUUGGGUCCUGAGGGAUCGAGCUUGCUCGAACCUUCGGUGACGAGAGCCUCCGCACCGGCUUCGGCCGGCGAGCGGGGGCUCCGCCACGUGUGGACCGUCUCCCCGUCGAACCACUCCUGACUGCAGGAGCAGGCGGCGACCAGGGAGCGGGACCGCCCGUAGCUUGAGAACUGCACAGUGGACGCGAGCAUCUUUGUGGCCAAGUUAGUAAGGGCGCACGGUGGAUGCCUUGGCACCAGGAGCCGAUGAAGGACGUAGGAGGCUGCGAUAAGCCUCGGGGAGCUGUCAACCGAGCUGUGAUCCGAGGAUUU
rnacentral:sRNA from 1 species